CCUGCCUCAAAUACAGGACAUGUUAAUACUUGAGAUCAGGAUUAGCAUGGCCCCUGCGCAAGGAUUACACGCAAAUUCGUGAAGCAUUCUAUAUUUUU
rnacentral:snRNA from 1 species